CCUCGGCCGUGAGACUCUCAGGAACAACAUGGAGUCCAAACAGGAAGAACAGGAAGACGCUCUCAGGUCUCCUCUGGAGGACGAGGACACUGAGGACACUGAGGACAUCACCAGUUCUACAUCAAAUACUACUAAUACUACUCCAGCUGCCAUCAUGAC